CCACAUCGUUACGUUUAAAUCUUCUGUCAACGAGCGAUAUAUUGCGGCUGUCAAACAGCUGUCGUUCGAUCUCGCCGCAAUUGAUCUCGAGAAUUAAUCGCAACGAUAUUAUCAACUUGAAGCCUUGAAACCGUAGUUUGCUUUAUAUAUUUUAUAUAUAAACAUCUUUCAUUAACACAUCUUUCUCUUUGAGUGUACGAGGUUGUCAUUGUAAGAAUGAAGCACACGAACGCUUUACAAUGGAAAUGUAACGCAAGAGACACAGAGAUCAUCAGUCUGACAUACGGUAGAGCGAGAUAAAUGUACGUCAACACUCACCCCGUUCUUGCGACGUUACAUUAUUCUCCUGUUCAACUGGAAUGAGAGGCUAGCGAGCAAGGGCUAUUCCUUGACCCUCCAAUAAAUCACAACAGAGACAUCGCACUCACCCCUAGAAGAGCGUUUCUGUGCGCCUGCGUUCGUAUACGAGCGAUGACGAGGGAUCAUCGAGCGACCUUGAAUUGUGGAGUGAAGAGUACGAUUCGGAAAGUUUUCCUACCAACUCUCUUACGCGCAAAA